AAUCAAUAUCUACUUCACCACCCAUUAACAACUUGGAAAACGGUUUUCUUGGGUAAGACUUAAAUGAAGCAAAGUGCAACAUGGUUUCUAAAGGCCUACAAUUUUUAGUGGGAAUCUGCACAAUUAAACUGCAGUGCCUCAUGUUGUAAACUUCAUCUCUGGCUAUGCAAAACCUCUGAGAAGCACUUCCUUGUGUCAAUCUAAAUGCAGUUUCAUUGAUAUUAUUCAGAAAGUCUUCUUUCUGCCUACAUAUCUCACAAUUUCACUAGUUUCCUGCCCUCAAUUUCAUUCAAAACUUCCUUUUGUUUCUUCAUUUCCAGUCAUUACCUCAUGAAUUCUACUAAAUGGCUACAACUUCUAAUGGAUAUUAUCCAUUCCCUCAGUUUUACAUAACAGAAAGUGCACAGAUUCCAGAAAGAAUGAAGUUUCCUGUCUUUCUCCUUCCAAAACUCUCCAAUCUCAUAAUAAAAAUAUUGAAAAUAAUGUCUGAGUUUGGCUAUGAACAAGAUGUUUUCAGUAUCAAAAUACAAUGAUUGAAUACAGAUACGUGAUUAAGUAUUAACAGGAAAACAGUUUACUGUCGCUUACCUGUAUUACCCUUAACAAACUCUUAUUCAGGCAACCUUGAGGAAGAUGAAUUGGUGGAAGAGGAAGAAGGGCAUGCAAAGAGGUACAUAAUAAAUUCCAUGAAACAUAAACAAGAAAGUGAAAACCUGGGCCUAAAUAGAUAUGAGGAAAAUCUAUGGGCAGCAUUUCCCUCAAGCACAAAAAAGGAGUCACCUAAAUGGAAAGAAGAACAGGAGAAGGAAGAUACUAGAAGGAAGCUGCAAACGACAGUUUUGGGGGAUGUGAAACAUUCUGUUUCUAGUAAUAAACAUCAAGUCCGUAAAGUUUCAGAAGACACAGCUUAUGCGAGAAAAGCCCAACCCACAGUAGGAGCAGAGAAAAAGGAAGAGUCUGAUUCUCCCUGGGAUUCUGAGCCGUGUUCUGAAGGUUCGAGGAAAGCAUCUCCUCCUGUGUUUCUCCCACCUGCAGUUGAACAUGGAGUACGCUUGCAGAGUGUUUCAGGGGAGCACAACAAGGGUAACUAUCUCAUAGAUUGGAUUUGUCUGUGUUUAUAG
ensembl:lncRNA